AAUCUGGCCUGCUGGAAUCCCAAAUACUUGUACACUUUACCCUCUUCCAUGGAUUCAAUAGUGUCUCUAUUUUCAAGAGUUUAGUCUCCUUUCUUUAGGACUCUUUUUUCUAUGUGGAGUGUUUUGCACUUGUCUAGGCCAAACUCCAUGCAGAUUUACUUUGAAAAUGUGUGCGUGAUUUGUAACAGCUGUUGUAAUUGUGUUUGUGUUGAGGCAUACAGCUUAAUGUCGUCCAUGUAUAAAAGAUGUAAGUGUAUAGGCUAUUGUUCGGUUUUGUCUAAUGUUGCAGUCACAAUUCGAUGUAUUCAGUUUGUUGGAAUGUGGAUUUAGAGGGAGGCAGAACCAAAGUGGGCUCAGAGAAUUGCCCUGAAAAAUGCUACGUCUAAUGUGUAUGGGUUCUGUGGCUACGUGAUUGUUAUUUAUGGUGACG
rnacentral:lncRNA from 1 species